GCCAGCAGCUCCCACAGCAAAGCAGCAGCACGCCCACCCUGUGAGAGCAGCUGCAACCUCUCACUGCUGGGGCUCACAGGCCUCUGCACGCAGAGAAAGGCUCUGCAACCCACAGAACCAGUCAGGGAGGCUGGGUCCAGAGAGGAGCAACGUGAAGAGAGGCAACACAUAUAUUGUGGAAACAAAAAACAGCAAGGGAAAUGCUCUCUUAGGAGAGCACAACCAUUCCUAGACUGGAUAUCAGUGAGAGACUCUUCCCUGUGAGGGUGGGCAGGCCCUGGCACAGUGCCCAGAGCAGCUGUGGCUGCCCCUGGAUCCCUGGCAGUGCCCAAGGCCAGGCUGGACAGGGCUGGGAGCAGCCCGGGACAGUGGCAGGUGUCCCUGCCAUGGCAGGGGUGGGAUGGAUUGGCUUUAAGGUCCCUUCCCACCCAAAGCAUUCCCAGUUUCUAUGGCAGUCCCCACACGGAAAGCUCAGCACUGGGCACUGGUCACUUACUGUUCUGGAUGCCAAACAGGAAUAUUCCCGAGGUCUGCUGGGAUGAGGCAGGGGAAUUCUGCAGCUGGUUGAUGGCACCUCCCGCCGUGUUGUGGAACAGAGGAGCCUGCUGCUGGGGAGGAGAAGCAGUUCCUGGCAUUCCUGCCAUGCUGUUUUGGGAGGAGUACAUGGGGGACUGCUGCAGCUCCGGCUGGCUCAUGCUGUUCUGCAGGGCAGACAUGGAAGCUGAGGAGAUGAAGAGGGUGACUUGUUGCUCUUGAGAACUUGGGGACCCUUGGACCAGCUGAAUCUGGGGCGAGUUAUGGAAGAUGGUUGGCUGCUGUGCUUCAGCCUGGUUGGAGCCAGGAUUCUGGAGAGAAGACACUGUGGUCUGACUCUGGAAUUGCAUGGGCUGCUGUUCCUGAUUCAUCGAGGCCAUGUUGGACUGUGGAUGGAAAAUGGACUGGCCUUGCUGCUCCUGAUUGGUAACUGGGUUUUGGUUUGGAUUGAAAAUCAUGUUCUGCUUUUGGGGGGCCAUUGUACUCAUUGCAUUUUGAUUGCUGAACAUCAUGUUCUGCUGCUGCUGCUGCUGCUGCUCCUGAGAUGGAGGGCUGCUCUGGAUGGCAACAAUCGAAUGC